GAAACGCGAAAGGUAAUGCGAAUUGCAGAAUCAGUGAGUCAUCGAAUCUUUGAACGCACAUUGCGCCUCUCGGUAUUCCGGGAGGCACGCCUGUUCGAGCGCCAUUACACACCCCAAGCUCAGCUUGAUGUUGGACGCUGUCUGUGAAAGGACAGGUCUGGAACGCGUGGGCGCCGCCGCCGGACCACGAGCGUAGCAAGACGCAAGUCGAUCGCUCUGUGGGCUUACUCGGUGGACGGCCGUCUAGAUGUCGGGUAACACCUUCGUCGAAACACACAACCAAAGUUUGGCCUCGGAUCAGGCGGGGAUACCCGCUGAACUUAA
rnacentral:misc_RNA from 1 species